rnacentral:lncRNA from 1 species
GGACAGAGGCAUGGGAUAGUAAGGGGCACCUGGGAGCCUUUAUGUUCCCAGUAAUGUUUUAUUUCUUAAUGCUUAUGCAUUUUCAUUGUAUCAUUCUUCUCAAACUGUACCUAUAUAUUUCGUACUUCUUUGUAUGUAUAAUAUACGUCGCAAUUACCAAAAAUAAAAGAGAAUGUGCCAUUUCUUAUACUCUGAGUGCCAUGGGGCAGUUUGUUGCCAUUACUAGGAAUAAGUACUCAUAAUUCAUUAGAUUUCUAAAAUUAUACAUCAAAUAUCUUUAAAAUGCUAAUUGAUCACUUUUAAUUAGGUCUAUUACUGGUGACUCCUUUCUCAUCAGCCCUUUCUUACUUAUUGGCUCUGUUCAACCCAGGAGAUUCCAGAUUCCCUAGUCUCUUCACUUGCAUGGCAAGCAUCCUCUUCUCGGCUGCCUCCUCUCCAUGUCUGACUACUCUCUUUUUGCCCAUCCCUUCCACCUAACUGUUGGCCAGGCACCUCUCAGAGCUUCUGGUCCUCUCACUCUAAAAUCUCUCCUUGCAGUUCCUGUUGUGGCUCAGUGGCUUAAGAAGCCGACUAGUACCCAUGAGGAUGUGGGUUUGAUCCCUGGCCUCACUCAGCGGGUUAAGGAUCCAGCGUUGCUGUGAGCUGUGGUGUAGGUCACAGAUGUGGCUUAGAUCUGGUGUUGCUGUGGUUGUAGGUUGGCAGCUGCAGCUCCAAUUUGACCCCCAGCCUGGGAACUUCCGUAUGCUGCAGGUGCAGUCCUAAAAAACAAACAAACAAAAAAUAAAUAAAUAAAAUAAAAUCUCUCCUUGUAUGGACUUAUUGAUCCAAAGCAGCAACUCCCCUCUUUAUGCUGACCGCCCCUCAAACCCAUAUCUCAAGCCCAGAACUAGGGAAGUAUAACAUUUUAGGGUAAUACCUACUUUCUUCUCAUAGCUCUGUAGAAAUUGUCCACUGAACAAUUCAGAAGUUGUUCUGGGAGUUCCCGUCGUGGCACAGCUGAAACGAAUCUUACAAGGAACCAUGAGGUUGUGGGUUUGAUCCCUGGCCUUGCUCAGUGAGUUAAUGACCUGGUGUUGCCAUGAGCUGUGGUGUAGUUCACAGAUGCAGCUCUGAUCCUGUGUUGCUGUGGCUGUGGCUUAGGCCUGCAGACGUAGCUCUGAUUAGAAACUCAGUGUUGAGAGAGAUGUCUGAAGCCAACUUGCUUUUUGUUCCUUUGUGGGUAACAUUUUGAAACUGCAUGAUCGUUUAAGGAAUUUUUUUUCCUCCUUUUUUAUUUUUGUGAUUUAAAAAAAAAUGUUUUAGGAUAUAGUUAAUGUCCCUUUGAAUGUAUUUUUGCCUGGAAUUAGGAGAGCCCAUUGAGUUUCUUCACGGCAAAGCAAGAUUGUUCUAUGGAAUCUUUUGACUGUUACUUAUUUUCCCUGUGCUUGCUCUGGUCUGCCUCUCUGCCAAUGCAAACUGAUAGAAUGUGCUAACAGGGACUAGUAGGGGGUGUAUUUUGAAAUACUAAUUGAGGUUUUUCCAUUCCUAUACGUUUGGAUGUUGCCCUGUGGCUCUUUAACUGGUGGGUUGGUGACAUUUAAUGCCUGGAGGAGAGGAGUGUGGCUACAGCCUCAAACAGUCCAUUGAAUUUCUCAAUAGUUUUUAAGCACAGAGCAGAGACAAUAGCCGUGAAAGCCAAGCUAUUUCUUUUCUUUUAUUGUAAGAGCCAAGCACUUAGGAGGGAGAAAAGGUUUAUGUUGUGUUGCUCCUUUGGUUUAAUUCUAAGAGCUUAGCUCUGAAUAUGCGGGGCAGAGUCUAGAGGACUGAAAUGUAAAUGCUAAACUGUGGAUGAAUUGGAGCUCAACAAUUUCAUAAGCAGAUUUCCUUAAAAGGAGGGAUAAGAGCUCUUUCUAGGAUGGGGAGGAGGAGGCUGGGGAGGCAAAGUAAAGGACCACUUGGAUAUGAAUGUAGAAUUUUUGACCCUUUCGGAAGUGUUUAGGGAGGGGAGAGACCUGACAGCUGUGACAGACAUGCUUGGGGGUCCAGGAGGAGGGGGACCCCUGAGCCUGGGUUCCCAGAAAAGACAUGGGAAGCCGCCCUUAUCUGACCUGGUGCCUGGAGUUGGAGCAGCAGUGGGUGAGGGCCAUUUAAAGAGAGUCACCAGAAGGCAGGUAAUGCUUCCUUGACGUAGCAGGGUUCACAGAGAGGAACUGACCAUUUCGAAGAUCUUUGUAGAAUGGUUGGGAGGAGGACACAGGGGGUCCAAGGAUCAGCGUGGGGUCCGGCCAAGGAAGAAAACAGCAUGGGCACCUCUAUGGCAUAGAGGGCUUGGCAGAUGACACUGUGUGGCAGCAAUGACUGUAUGGGCUUCUCUCUCAGAGAGGUCAAGGGACAGAUGUUGACCCUGUCCUGGUGGCUGGAAGAUAUAUGAGCCUGCAGAAACUUACAACCCUCUGGAGAAGAGUGACAGGAGAGAAACCUAAAGGCUACACAGACAGACGUGACUGAAUUACCUUGAAAUGGCAAGGCUAUGUCUUCUUCCACUGACUCAAUAAUAGGGGUGGGUCAGUCUGGGCUUGGUUGGAGCCAGGCAACUUUUUUAGAGAUAAGAAAUAAUCUAUAGAAAUUAGAGCUUAUGUGACUGUUGGGAAGAGCCGUAUGGAAGGCUGUAACUGAAGCAUCAGAGAAAGAGUCAUUAACAGCAUCAGCUUGAAGCAGCAGAGAGAGUGGAGUAGCUUGAGUUCAUGGAAACUGUGAGAAGCCACGGCAUUGAUGUGUCAGGACCACCAAGCCAGAACCCAUGGAGAGCUCUUCAAAGGCAUCUGUCUGCAAAACAUCAAAAGCGGGUUUCUUAGAGGGUCAGCAGAGGUACCAAGCUUGGCGUGGCCACUGUGUUCCCCAGGAUAAAUGAGACUGCCAGACAACAUGCAGGAUGCCAGUUUAAAUUUGAAUUUCAGAUAAAUAAUGAAUAACAAUUUAGCAUCAGUAUAUUCCAAAUAACACAUAUAAGAAUGCAUGGGGAGGCGUUCCCACUGUGGCAAAGUGGGUUAAGAAUCCAACUGGAGUAGUGUGAGUUGCUGCAGAGACAUGGGUUCAAUCCCUGGCCUGGGAACGUCCAUAUGCAGGGAGUGCGAACAUUAAAAAAAAAAAAGUAUUAUAUGGAGAAAUGGGAUAUACCCAUACCCCAAAGGUAUUUAUCUGACAUUCAAAUCUAACUGGGAGCCUUGUAUUUUUAUUUGUGAAGUCUGGCAACCCUGCCCCUGCAAAAGAGCACCCCUUUCCUUUCCCCUCUUUACAAAUCUCAUGUGAAUUCCCUUCUGAGGCAAACUCUCAGAAAGAAGCAUAUAGUAAAAGAGAUUCUGACAAAGGUAGUUUUCUGCCUUGUGAUAAUGGUGGUGCCAGAUUGAUAACAAAGGAUUUGGAAUAAGAAAGCACGAGGCAGUUUUAAUUUAGGUUUAGGAAAACAACCACAGCGGCUCCCCCAGCAGAAAUGUGAUGAAUGGACGCUGGUUUUGUUUAUCUGUGCUUUCACCCUAGCACCCAUUCUCUCUAAUUCUAGUUCACCAUUUCUUCUUUGGGGAGCUCCCCCCACGCCCUGAACCACCUUCUAUCCUACUACUCCCAGUCCAGGUACUUUCGGUAGGGCUCAGUUCCCAACUCUAGGGCUGUAUUAUUCCACUCCCAAUCUGCAGUCACCGAUUUGGCCAUCAACAUGUGAUCCCAUCAGAACAGCAGUGUUCUGUUUUGGUUUUGUUUGGGGUAAAUAAGGGCUUUCUGUUUUCUCUUGGACCUAGACCUAGGAGGAUGGAGGGCAGGGCUAAUGGGGCCACCUUGGCCACAUGAGGGGAAGGGCCAUCUGAAAAUGGAGCCAAGACAAUGGACGUGGAGUGAGACAUGGAGAAAAGAAAGCAGUUCCCGACUGAGCCACAGCCCCGACCCUGAGCUCUUCAUUAGUGUGAGCGGAGAUAUCCCCUCCCCAGGAAGCCAGUUUGAAUUGUGUUUUUCUGCACUUCUUACCUGUGUGUCACAGCUGAUGCAACUGGCAGGGAAAGAAGCAUUUCUUCAAGAAAGAGAAGAGAGGAAGGUGUAUGUAUAUUGUUAAGGGGGAAGGGACCCAUCAGGGAGACACAUGUUGAGAGAAAGCACAGAAGGGACACUUCCUGGAACAAGUUCUAUAAGACACGCGAAGGGUGAACCUUCCGUUUCUUUGUUUGUCGUAUAAUGACUCCAGAUCACAGAUCUGGCUCUUGAUUUUCACCCCCGCUUUUGAAUUAAGGCAGCGAGCUGGAAAUUAAUAUGGGCAUAUUUCCCUGUAUUUAGCCAUCAUUCAAUGUAUAAUUCCCAGAAGGGUGAAAGAAAUACUUACUUAAUUAAACGUGCUAAACAAUCGCCAUCUUUACUUGCUGUUCACAUAUAUUUGUCUUACAAAGAUACACCGUGAAGAGUCGAUGGAGCUAUUUUUAAAAAAACGAGUUCCGCACACCACUUAAUUAUAAUAAUCUAUAGAGAGUAACUGUAUAUUUUCCACUCCAGGGUACCGGUGGGCAGAACAAGGAAAGCUGCAGAAAACACACGUUCUCGGCUCGUUUCUCUCUCUCUCUCUUUUUUUUUUUUUUUUUUUUUGCGAUUGCAGGAGCUCUUGGGGCUUGGCUUCCCUUUAGUUCUCAGAUAUGUUCCUCUUGAUUUUGGAGGAAAUUGCACAUCUAAGAGGCCUGACCUUUCUGGUGGGGUUGGGUUACAAAUCUUCUAAGUAUAUAUUCAGUCGUGACUGCAUGAUUGAAUGCUUGUGGACUGUCCAACAUCUGACAGUCUGAUCACCGCUGAGUAGGUCACGUGGGUGGGUUAGGAAGAGGAGGAGUCUGGGAAAGAGCUGUGAUUAAAAAAUGAAACCUGGAGUUCCUGCCGUAGCGCAGUGGUUAACGAAUCCGACUAGGAACCAUGAGGUUGCGGGUUCGGUCCCUGCCCUUGUUCAGUGGGUUAAUGAUCUGGCGUUGCAGUGAGCUGUGGUGUAGGUUGCAGACGCGGCUUGGAUCCCGCGUUGCUGUGGCUCUGGCAUAGGCCAGUGCCUACAGCUCCGAUUCGACCCCUAGCCUGGGAACCUCCAUAUGCCACGAGAGCAGCCCGAGAAAUGGCAAAAAG